UUCCAUAGGGCUUAGUAAGGAACUACGACCUCAUCCACAUGCUCCUGCCUGACACAACUUCUGUCAUCAUGAUUUUGGGGGGUCCUCUCCUUUGCCCAAAGGUCUCAUUUCAUGUGUGAGCAGCUUUUCUUCCUCUCACCCUAAUCUGCCUGCCCCUGAAAAUGAUGGCUCUGAGACCAUGGUAUCCAAAGCCAAACUGCCUCCUUGGAAUGAGAGAAGGAUAUCAGCAGAGUAAGAGCCCGUGUGAAAGCUCAAGACAUUAUUCUCUACAGCUAACAGGCAACUUCACAAAGACAGAAUACAAUCAAGUGCUACACUGAAAAAACCAA